UAUUGAAAUUCAUUCAGGAUUGUUUUGAAAGCUGUGAUAAUGAACUUACAAUAAGCUCUCCAUGCACAGCCUGUUGCUCAACUCCUGUUGGCAGAAACCAAACGAGGACUUCAAUACAGACCCAAAGGCAGUCAGAUGCAGGGUUAACGAACUCUGUGAAGAGAACCAGUACUACUUCAGCAUCCGUACCCGCCUCACCACCAGAUACUGUCAGUAGCCAAGGUCAGUAGCACUAUUAUUAAUUUAAGGUUUUGGGGUAACUCUUGGUAUAAGCUUUUGAGUAGAAG
rnacentral:lncRNA from 1 species